ACCAUGUGUGGACACAGCAAGAAGGCAGCAUCUAUAAGCUAGGAAGGAGGCCCUCACCAGACUUGGAAUCUGCUGGCUUCCUGAUCUUGGCCUUUCUAGCCUCCAGAACUACCAUAAUCACCAUGAGUGUGGGGACCAUGACGAUUAUUUUACAAAUCUUCAGCUUCUGGCUCAAUACAGGAUGUGAAGUUAAUGCUCAAUAAAUCUGUAACGGUAGAGUUAACGAAUGAAAAUAGUCUGAAGGUUUAUUUCCAAUAACAUAUUCACUUUCCCGAGUUACCCAAUGAAAUAUACACAUAUCGCC
rnacentral:lncRNA from 1 species